CCUACGGGAGGCAGCAGUGAGGAAUAUUGGUCAAUGGACGAGAGUCUGAACCAGCCAAGUAGCGUGAAGGAUGACUGCCCUAUGGGUUGUAAACUUCUUUUAUACAGGAAUAAAACGAGGCACGUGUGCCUUUUUGCAUGUACUUUAUGAAUAAGGAUCGGCUAACUCCGUGCCAGCAGCCGCGGUAAUACGGAGGAUCCGAGCGUUAUCCGGAUUUAUUGGGUUUAAAGGGAGCGUAGAUGGGUUGUUAAGUCAGUUGUGAAAGGUUGCGGCUCAACCGUAAAAUUGCAAUUGAUACUGGCAGUCUUGAGUACAGUUGAGGUAGGCGGAAUUCGUGGUGUAGCGGUGAAAUGCUUAGAUAUCACGAAGAACCCCGAUUGCGAAGGCAGCUUACUAAACUGUGACUGACAUUGAUGCUCGAAAGUGUGGGUAUCAAACAGGAUUAGAUACCCUGGUAGUC
rnacentral:rRNA from 1 species